UUUUGGAACAAAUUCUUAGUGCAACUAAAAGGAUUGCUUCAGCAGGAACUGAUGUCUUUUUAUCAAAUCCCGACCACUUUUCGAUGCAAGAAUUGGCAGACCUACGUUAUCUCUUUAACGAAUUAGACUCCGACAAUGACAGUAUUCUUAAUUUAUCUCAACUCGAAAAUGCCUUCAAAAUACUUCGAAUCGAAAAGGCUAGAUAUAGGUCUCUGACUGAAUAUAUAAACGAACAAUCUAUAAAAAUAAAUUUGGAGACAUUCAUGUUGAUCAUCGAUAAAAUUCAAGGAACGGAUUUAAAUCCAAUAGAAAUGCUAAAAAUAUGUUUUGAUCAGAU